CUUGUUCCUUGGGUGGCGAGCGGCGGUACGUGGUGAGUAAUGCCUGGGAAAUUGCCCUGAUGUGGGGGAUAACCAUUGGAAACGAUGGCUAAUACCGCAUGAUAGCUUCGGCUCAAAGAGGGGGACCUUCGGGCCUCUCGCGUCAGGAUAUGCCCAGGUGGGAUUAGCUAGUUGGUGAGGUAAUGGCUCACCAAGGCGACGAUCCCUAGCUGGUCUGAGAGGAUGAUCAGCCACACUGGAACUGAGACACGGUCCAGACUCCUACGGGAGGCAGCAGUGGGGAAUAUUGCACAAUGGGCGCAAGCCUGAUGCAGCCAUGCCGCGUGUGUGAAGAAGGCCUUCGGGUUGUAAAGCACUUUCAGUAGGGAGGAAGGUGGUGUUGUUAAUAGCAGCAUCAUUUGACGUUACCUACAGAAGAAGCACCGGCUAACUCCGUGCCAGCAGCCGCGGUAAUACGGAGGGUGCGAGCGUUAAUCGGAAUUACUGGGGCGUAAAGCGCAUGCAGGUGGUUUGUUAAGUCAGGAUGUGAAAGCCCGGGGGCUCAACCUCGGAAUAGCAUUUGAAACUGGCAAGCUAGAGUAACUUGUAGAGGGGGGGGUAGAAAUUUCAGGUUG
rnacentral:rRNA from 1 species